rnacentral:lncRNA from 1 species
UUUCUUGCGAACUCAAAACCCAACAAUUCAAUAAUCAAUAACAACGUAAUCAGUAGGAAAACAACACGUGAGAAAUAAGAUUAGGAAAUAUGAAAUACACAAAAUUAAGUAAGCAAUACUAAGCUAAGCUAUGUUGACACAUCUAUGUUACCACAUCUAUGUUGCCACAUCUAUGUUGCCACAUCUAUGUUGCCACAUCUAUGUUGCCACAUCUAUGUUACCACAUCUAUGUUGCCACAUCUAUGUUACCACAUCUAUGUUGCCACAUCUAUGUUGCCACAUCUAUGUUGCCACAUCUAUGUUGCCACAUCUAUGUUGCCACAUCUAUGUUACCACAUCUAUGUUACCACAUCUAUGUUACCACAUCUAUGUACCACAUCUAUGUUUCCACAUCUAUGUUACCACAUCUAUGUUACCACAUCUAUGUUGCCACAUCUAUGUUGCCACAUCUAUGUUACCACAUCUAUGUUGCCACAUCUAUGUUGCCACAUCUAUGUUGCCACAUCUAUGUUGCCACAUCUAUGUUGCCACAUCUAUGUUACCACAUCUAUGUACCACAUCUAUGUUGCCACAUCUAUGUUGCCACAUCUAUGUUGCCACAUCUAUGUUGCCACAUCUAUGUUGCCACAUCUAUGUUGCCACAUCUAUGUUGCCACAUCUAUGUUACCACAUCUAUGUUACCACAUCUAUGUUACCACAUCUAUGUUGCCACAUCUAUGUUGCCACAUCUAUGUUACCACAUCUAUGUUGCCACAUCUAUGUUGCCACAUCUAUGUUGCCACAUCUAUGUUGCCACAUCUAUGUUCCACAUCUAUGUUACCACAUCUAUGUUACCACAUCUAUGUUACCACAUCUAUGUUGCCACAUCUAUGUUGCCACAUCUAUGUUGCCACAUCUAUGUUACCACAUCUAUGUUACCACAUCUAUGUUACCACAUCUAUGUUGCCACAUCUAUGUUACCACAUCUAUGUUGCCACAUCUAUGUUGCCACAUCUAUGUUGCCACAUCUAUGUUACCACAUCUAUGUUACCACAUCUAUGUUGCCACAUCUAUGUUGCCACAUCUAUGUUGCCACAUCUAUGUUGCCACAUCUAUGUUGCCACAUCUAUGUUACCACAUCUAUGUUACCACAUCUAUGCUCCACAUCUAUGCUCCACAUCUAUGUUCCACAUCUAUGUUACCACAUCUAUGUUACCACAUCUAUGUUGCCACAUCUAUGUUACCACAUCUAUGUUGCCACAUCUAUGUUGCCACAUCUAUGUUACCACAUCUAUGUUCCACAUCUAUGUUGCCACAUCUAUGUUACCACAUCUAUGUUCCACAUCUAUGUUGCCACAUCUAUGCUCCACAUCUAUGCUCCACAUCUAUGUUCCACAUCUAUGUUGCCACAUCUAUGCUCCACAUCUAUAUUCCACAUCUAUGUUCCACAUCUAUGUUCCACAUCUAUGUUGCCACAUCUAUGUUACCACAUCUAUGUUACCACAUCUAUGUUCCACAUCUAUGUUGCCACAUCUAUGCUCCACAUCUAUGCUCCACAUCUAUGUUCCACAUCUAUGUUGCCACAUCUAUGCUCCACAUCUAUGUUCCACAUCUAUGUUACCACAUCUAUGUUCAACAUAUAAAUGGAACCUCC